rnacentral:tRNA from 1 species
GGGCGAGUGGUGAAAUUGGUAUACACGACAGACUCAAAAUCUGUUGGCAGCAAUGCCGUGAGGGUUCAAGUCCCUCCUCGCCCACCA